GCAGCCGCCGCGGUAAUACAGAGGAUGCAAGCGUUAUCCGGAAUGAUUGGGCGUAAAGCGUCUGUAGGUGGCUUUUCAAGUCCGCCGUCAAAUCCCAGGGCUCAACCCUGGACAGGCGGUGGAAACUACCAAGCUGGAGUGCGGUAGGGGAAGAGGGAAUUUCCGGUGGAGCGGUGAAACGCGUUGAGAUCGGAAAGAACACCAACGGCGAAAGCACUCUGCUGGGCCGACACUGACACUGAGAGACGAAAGCUAGGGGAGCAAAUGGGAUUAGAUACCCCAGUAGUCCCUGUCUCUUAUAC
rnacentral:rRNA from 1 species